ACUAGUAUACUCAAUUACAAUAUUUAAUGAAGCAAAUGUGGUUGCUCGAGCACAGACGAGCUUACUAUAGUAAAAGUCUUUCAAAAUUUGAUGGUUUUUCCGCUGGUUUUGAGCUAUGUUGAUUGGUGAUUUUGAAGGAACUAUCUAGGGAGUAGGGAAUAUCAUUUUUCAAACACAUAAUUCACGAAAAAGAUCACACAAAUAUACCGUUCCACCUUUAUCACAUGACUGGUAAAGUUAAUUAGCUUUUUUAGCUGUGUUAUUUGUCCCUCAUUUGUCAAGGUGAAAGCUGGACAGACUCUAUAUACUUAUUUUAAGAUUGUUUACUGAACAAAUCUCGUUUGCUUGGUAAUACUUUGUAGUUGUACUGACUUCAUCUCCUUUUCAUAGUAAAGCUCACAUUUCCAAAAAAAAAAGUACUCUAUAUGUUGUCUAGAUGUUGGCGAAGAUUUGUGAAAAACUAAACAUAUACAUUAAUUUUAUCAUAGUUAGGAUAUGGUGAAGGUUAGGACCUUUGGAACCCCCUAUAAGAGCUUUUAGUGAGAAGGCACUUAAACUCAACCAGGAACCGAGUUGAGAUAGCCACUACAAAUCCUUUUUGGAUUCUAAACUUUUUUAUUCUACCUAUUUGCAAUAUAUGUAGCAAAGAUGAUGUGUUUUUACUAAUAUAAGGAGUAGUUGGUUUAUUAUUAGUAUAUAAUAUAUAGAUAUAUAGAUACAUUUUAUAUCCAGUUUGAUGAUUAAGGUGUUUAUGUAUAUAGAAUACCAAUAAAACACAUAGCUGGCUUGCUUUAUGAUGCCUAAUUAACCUUGUUUAACUAAUCAAUCUUAUUUGUUUAUAGCUAGUGGCCUCUAAGCUCAUGGGCUAUGUAUAUGGGGAUUUCAGUUUGGGCUUUGCUAUAUUGGGUUUAACAAAACUGAGGUAUAAUCAGAGAAAGCAAAUGAUAUUAAUACCUCAAAGGAGGUGGAGACACAAAAACUUGUGAACAAAAAUGGAAAAAGAGAUGUAAUCCUUCUUGAAAUUCCUGUCACAACUUUCGUAACUUGUUGGAAUUUCUUUCAAGAACCUCAAUGAUGCUAAUCAUAUCCGAAAACGCGCAUUCUGGUUUCCUCUGACUUGUGUAAGUACCAAGAUUUAAGUAUUAAAACUACAGAUAAGCCCUACGCACCUUAUUAAAGGUAUAUUCACGUUUAUGUAAAAUAGGUAAUUAAAGGGUUAACUAUGUUCAUUGGUGGCAUAGAAAGUCCGAGAAUUUAGACGCGUUGGUUAGAAACUUAGGAGAAGAAGCAAUUCAGUUGUUUAGCUGACAUUUACAACCAAGUUGUUUUUUUUUUUUAAUAAGAGGAAGAGAACGG